UGGAGCUCAGCGUUCACGUGCGCUCGAGCCACUUCCUUCAGCGUCCUGCCAUCGAGGACCAGGAUGAAACCCGGCUGGUCUGGGCUCAGCGUGACGACCGACGACACGACCGCGCCUGGAAGUGAAACGAGAGCAACAGUGAAAACAGGAAGUGAUCGCUUGAGGUUCCACAUGUGGUUCCGACAGCAUGGGGUGAAGUUUGACCUCGUGAUCGGGAUAAGGCCUCCGCUGUCAUGUGACCAGUGGACGUAGAUGCGACACGCGUCUCACACUUGGACCCUGCUCCUGCCACGCCUUCCACCCACCCGCCCUAUCUUAUCUCAGCAAAUUACCAGAACCAGGAUGAUCUCUGCCUUUGUGAGCGCAGCUCUCCUCGAAACGGGCUCCACAUCUCAAACGCAUCUCACUCAUUCUCAAACCUGGUCUGUCACUUCCUGUAACAGUCUUGUUUCUUGUGUUUUGUUUGUUUAACGAUCGAAGACAUUUGGACUUGAAGGACUUUCACAUAGUUGCCAUAACAAGCACCCACAAUGAUAAUAAAAUUACCUUAUCUUAAUUGUCUAAACCAAGAUGUUUCCUUCUGCACUGAACCCUUUGACUCGACUUGUGACUUGCAGUAAAGUCUCCAAGACAUCAGUGUGAAGCGCA